rnacentral:RNase_P_RNA from 2 species
ACAGUAGGGAAAUCCCUCAAAAAAUUAAGAGUAGGGAGCUGAGUGCUUGUCAUUCCUGGGCUCCUGGGAAGAUCCGAGACUGGGGCCUCCUGCAGCCCUAACUGGGCCCUCCCCAAGUAGGGAGGUGAGUUCCCAGAGACCAAGGGCCUAUGUUGGAUGCCAGAUGCCAGGAGCCAUGCCUGAUGGUGGACAGGUCCCAGCAGAGGAUCUAAGGAGUUGGCGAGGGAAGGGGGUGAGCCAGGCCAUGAUGGUGGUGAGAAUCUUGCAACUUGACUGACUAGCAGCCAGAGUGCUUCUUUCUUUANGACUUUUGCCAUUCCCAUCAGAUACUGUGCCNUCUCUCCCUUGUUGAACAGUUGCCCUGU